rnacentral:lncRNA from 1 species
UCAUCUUUAGGUCUAGGACUUUCUUAAGGAUCUCACCUUUAAAACUUCUCUCUUUCUUUCUCUUCUCUUUUUCUUUCUCCCUCUUUUUUAAAAAAUAAAAUUUUAAAAAAAAAUCUUAACAACACACAUAUUAGGGUUUGUACUAAUACUUGCACGGUAUAAUUUUUUCUGACCUAGUUGAACCUAAUCCUGAAAUUGAACGACUGAUCCAUGCUAAACAUGAUAAUCAAAUGGCUAGAAAUUCUAAGAACCACCUAGACAGAUGAAGAAAUAUUUUAUUCCUUCCACCUAUAAUCCAUCGAUGUUUCCAUCAUUCUAUGGGAUCAAAUAUUCUAACUCUAGUCUUGAAGAUGAUUUAAACCCACUAGCCCAAAAAUUAGAUAAAAUUGACCUUCUUAUAGAUAAAUGCCUAG